UGAGUAGUAGCGACGAAGCGUGAAAAAAAUACUAUGGAGUCCCCAAGGGAAGAGGGAACGCGGAGAUCCGAGCGAGCGCCAUCCUCCUUGCGGAAAGUGGGCGGCUGCAAAAGAAUGAAGUCCUAAAACGGAAGGCUGAGUGUUCCAAAGCCAAGGAAGAGAGUGAGGAAGGUACUAGAAGCAGCAUGCCUGUUCUCAUGAAGCAGAGUCCAGAGUCCAUGGUGACAAUACUUGAAGAAGAUGCAAGGACUCCAUAAAUUUUAUGACUGAGGCAUCAUUGCCUUAAUUUACCUACAAUGCACUACACUUUCCCCCAUCUCUGGGGGAAAUGAAAGUUAAAUUCCUGGAAAGAAAAAUAACAUCUUUGAAAGAAAUUGGGUUGCAAGAAGGGUAUCAAACUGAUAUGGUGGGGUCAUUCUUUAAAGAAAAAAGUGCAUCAAGCAUUUCUACUUAGAAAAAAAUCUUCAUUUUCAAGUAAAAUAUGGUAAGCAAGGGCAGAUUUACUAGUAUUGCUGGUUUCAAAAGAAUGGAAAAUAAAUAGAAAAACCUGGAGUCAUAACCACAUACCUGAUUUACAUGAUUUAUUUACCUGAUUUAUUCAGCUUCCAAGACUGGAACAUAAGUGGCCAACUUCUGUGAGUAGAAUAUGGAAUUUGGGACAAUAAAUAGGUUCACCACCAA